CCCAUCGUGCACAAUCCCAUCCUUAGGCAGACUUGGGGAGAAAGUGGGUAGGAUUCGAAGGCGCUUAACGUGGAGAGGGAACUAGGCUCCAAAAGCCUUGAGCAGUCAGGGGUGACAGGAACACCAUCAUAAAAAGAGCAGCUAAAUCCUUUGCACACCCGCCAUCUACGGGGACACCAUGAUUCAGGCUUCAGAAAUACCACCUCGCUGAAUCCUCUCCACAACACUAUGAAGGGAGUACUAUCAUCUCUAUGGUGCAGGUAAGAAACUGAGGCACUGAGAGAUUCAGUGACUUGCCCAAGGCAACACACGGUUCGUUCAUUCCUUCAAGGUAUGUUUAUUUCACACGUGGCUCCAGGCACCAGAUGGGGAGCCACACAGCUGCUGGGCUAGGAUCCAAACCUAAGCAUUUGGAUGCUAGAACGUAAUGCCCCAGAUGGGCCCAUCUACAAAGGGAAACACUGUGUCCCCUGAACCAGAAGGACACACAGAGGAGGUCCCCAGGGGAGCCCAGGCCCACCCUGCGUUGGGGUCUGCUGCUCAGCGGAACUGCAGAAAGGAGGGGAGGCUGCAGGGAGAUCCGGUCCCACCGGACAGCAUCCCUGGGAGGCGGGAUCUCCUUCCUGUCUGAGCCAGCCUCGUCCUCAAUGCCGCCUCAGUGUCCCCACGUAUAGGGUCUCAGAUGACUGUUCUGAGAACUUCCUCCACCCUCUCACCUCAGUAGCGGCCCUCUGAACCCCUCAUGCAGCAGGUACCCAGGACCUGAUGAGAGACCACUCUACGAGGUACGUCCGCCAGCCCCCGAUACGUCCCCAAACCCUAAAGAGCCCACACUGUGUCCUUCCUGACCCACAGCCCAACAGCCAUCGGAGAGCCCCUUAUAUGUGCUAAAACCCACCAAGAACCAACAUCCACAGAGGUCCCACCAGAUCCAGAACACCACUCUCACCAGGCCACACCGAGCCUAACACAGCUGGGUUUCUACGGUGCCGAUUAAUCAUGGCGAAAGUCAAGUUCUGGGUAGCUAGAACAAGCUGGAAUCCAACUUGUGGAAGAAGAGAAUAUUAUCACUGAAUAAUACACGUCAAAAAGCAGUGGAGAUAAUCAAGGUAAACAGAAAGGUCUUGAGCUUGUGAUGUGAUUCAGGAAGGGCAAACGCAGGAGAAAGACAAGGACCUCUACGGUUUUUUAAGGAGCACAGAGUCCCAUGAGGGAGUGUGAAAAGGGUUAGAAUGGAAGAAACAGUAGCUAACACUUUGGGAGUGUUUACUUCAUGCUAGACAUGGUCUAAACAAAUUAGAUGCUAUCAACUCAUUUAAACCUCACAAGCACCCUCUCCAAAGUGUGUUGUAUUACUACCGUGGCCAUUUUACAGACGGGGAAACGAAGGCACCAAAAUGUCAAGCAAAUAUAGAGUAGAGAGCUGGAAAUGCCUCUCUAGCCCAUUCCGUGUUUCAAGAAGGUGCCAGAAAGCCGACAAAUGCUCAAUUGCCGCACACUAACACUUCUCUUGCCUGUCGGAGGUGUGAGAAUUCACAAAGCAGUGUCCCUCCUCAUGCUCAAGUAGGAUGUCCAAAGAUGGGGCCUUGAUACAACUUAGCUGUGUGACCCUGGGUAGGCCAGGCAACCUCUCUGGUCUUCCGGCAUCUUCCUCUGUGAGAUAAAGGUUGGACUCAGAAACGCCCAAAGUGCCCUUGAGCUCUGAAAUUCUGCAACUAAACCAGGAUAUACAAUAACCUUUCACUGGGUAAUUAAUUUGAUAUCAUUCAGAAAUAUGCAAAUGUAUCUGAAUUCUGAAACCACUAAACCUGACCAAUUUCCAAAAUAAUAGGAAAGCACAGUCACCGAAGCCAGAGGAGACUUUUAAAGUUCUGCUCUGAUCCAGAAAGGGCCAGAGAUGGGCAGACCCAGACAGACCAGAGAAGACUCUGGCCCCUGCGUGGGCCCUGUGUUGCCUCUUGUCAGAGUGACCACGGAGCAAAGGGAAGACGGCCUCAUUUUCCCCCAGCACUCAUGUGACCCUAAGGCACUCAGAGCCUGAAUCCCAUGCUGAUUUGUUAUUUCCAAAUGACAUCCAUCCACCUGAAGCCAGAGCCCCUGGUCCUGCCACUUUACCUUCCCAGACAGGUGACCCUCUCAAGUCACCCCCUGGGCCGACUUUCAAAGCCCAUUGCUGCCCAUGGAUUCUAUUCUGUACAGAUGACACCACAGCAGACCGUCAGGAAGAGCCCAGGGCCAUCACCCCGCCCCCCCCCCCCAUCAACAGAUUUCCUGAAAAUGAGGCCCCGAGAGCCGAGAGCCGGGAGGGGACAGAAGAACCAAAGACUGAGCAGAAUGCAAUAGUGAGAGUACGUGCUCUGCGGUCCCACAGACCUGAGUUCAGAUCCUUCUUCUGACCUAAGCCUCAGUCUCCCCAGCUCAAAAAUGGGCCUUAAGAUGGGGCAUACCUCAUAAGGCUGCUGAGGGGAUUCACCGGAACUUGUGCGCGUGAAGAAACACAACGGCUGUCGCUGAGCAAGCAUUCAAUGGCAAUCACAAGAAAACAGAAAAUUCGGGAAAUUGUUUCUAUAAGAUUCCAGCAGAGUAAAAUCAUGUCCAAUUCAAGCUGCCGGUGACCCAUGAAUCAUUUCCAUUUCAAGGUCCAGAAACAUCCUUUAUUGGGCUGUGGCGGAGACGUGACCUGUCCCCCCCAAAAUGUGAUCUCACUUUCUUACACGGGAUUAGAAACGGAGCCGGGCACUCGGGCAUCUACAAUAAUCUACAAUAAAGACUACAGUUCUUACGUUCCCUGGCGGAGAGUGGGUCACGUGACCCAGUUCCAGCCAAUAGCACACGAGCAGGAGCACCGUGUCAACUUCCAGGACAAGCCAGCCCUGGAGGACAAGCGAUAUGGCGGAGAGCCAUCUUGGACCACACAGGUAAGGUCGACUACAGAGCACCAACAUGGAAGGAAUCUAGGCCUCUGACACCAUGGAACUACCACAGCAGCCCAUGGCAGGACUGUUGGGAGAGACGAACUUCCGUCUUUUAUAAGCCACUGCUAUUUGGGGAACCAGUGACAGCAAUCAGAAUUAUACCUCACAAGUACCAGAUAGUGGUGACCGUUUAUAAAAGGUUUUCUUCUGCAUUACGGAGUAGCACCACAAGGACACCAGCUGCAGAUACUAAGCUUGGAGAGGACAAAUGACUCAUCCAAGAUCAGUUGGUACGGGGCCAAACUGGAACGAAAACCUUACCUUCUUCUAAAUGCGAGUCCUGGUGACUUUCCUUCUACCCAACUGUAAAGCACCAAAUGUAACAGGUAUUGCCUGCUGAGCCACCCCAACCUACCCCGAUUUCAAGAUGCAUUCUUGGUGCUGAUCCUUGUUUACGGGCACAGUAAGUCCCACCAAUGGCGCAACUGUUUCUCCGCCAUGUUGAAUUCCUAAGGCUAAUUCUAACAGCUAUACCUUUCUGUGUAUGAACCGUGGAUAAAUGUAGAAUGUUGAGUAGAAUGACAUGAAUACAACUGCCCUCUUUUUUCAAGAGUAGUUCAGUUUUCUAAAGGCCUUUGAUGAGCAUCCAGAUCACCGCUAACCUAGCUUGUAAACAAUUAAACCUUGACCUUGAA